rnacentral:rRNA from 1 species
CCCUAUGGGGCGCAGGUGAUGAACGGUCUCCUGAAGCAAGUACUCGCAGGGAAGCCUGGCGUUCGUUUUAUUUCGGAUCAGUCCCCGGUUGCGGCUGGCGAAGGAGCCGCCGGCAAACUCCAAGCUGUUCGCCGAAUUGCCGCGCAGCAGGGUUGCAAUACCGUUUUGGAAACCACGCUCAGCCGAUACAGCGAACGGGUGGGGGGGGAUUAGGGCGUCAAGCAGGCGGCCGCGGUUACCUUUGCCUAUAAGCUCUACGAAGUGGACGAGGGGCGUGUACGGUGUCACGGCCGAUUCGACGAGCAGCAGCAGUCGGUCAUGGAGAAUUUGCUGACGCUGCCCAAGGCACAAAGUCGAGGGUUUUCCUGGCUGACCGCCGAGGAAUUGGCGGGGGGGC